rnacentral:rRNA from 1 species
CCUACGGGUGGCUGCAGUGGGGAAUAUUGGACAAUGGGCGAAAGCCUGAUCCAGCCAUGCCGCGUGUGUGAAGAAGGCCUUCGGGUUGUAAAGCACUUUCAGUGGGGAAGAAAGCCUUGGGGCUAAUACCCUCGAGGAAGGACAUCACCCACAGAAGAAGCACCGGCUAACUCCGUGCCAGCAGCCGCGGUAAUACGGAGGGUGCGAGCGUUAAUCGGAAUUACUGGGCGUAAAGCGCGCGUAGGCGGUCUGAUAAGCCGGUUGUGAAAGCCCCGGGCUCAACCUGGGAACGGCAUCCGGAACUGUCAGGCUAGAGGGCAGGAGAGGAAGGUAGAAUUCCCGGUGGAGCGGUGAAAUGCGUAGAGAUCGGGAGGAAUACCAGUGGCGAAGGCGGCCUUCUGGACUGACACUGACGCUGAGGUGCGAAAGCGUGGGUAGCAAACAGGAUUAGAUACCCCGGUAGUC